GAUGAACGCUAGCGAUAGGCUUAACACAUGCAAGUCGAGGGGCAGCAUGGUCUUAGCUUGCUAAGACUGAUGGCGACCGGCGCACGGGUGCGUAACGCGUAUGCAACUUGCCUCACAGAGGGGGAUAACCCGUCGAAAGACGGACUAAUACCGCGUACACUCCAUCUUGGGCAUCCAAGGUAGAGGAAAUGAAAUUCGCUGUGAGAUAGGCAUGCGUCCCAUUAGCUAGUUGGUGAGGUAACGGCUCACCAAGGCGACGAUGGGUAGGGGAACUGAGAGGUUGAACCCCCACACUGGUACUGAGACACGGACCAGACUCCUACGGGAGGCAGCAGUGAGGAAUAUUGGUCAAUGGGCGAGAGCCUGAACCAGCCAAGUCGCGUGAAGGAUGACUGUCUUAUGGAUUGUAAACUUCUUUUAUACGGGAAUAACAAGAGUCACGUGUGACUCCCUGCAUGUACCGUAUGAAUAAGCAUCGGCUAACUCCGU
rnacentral:rRNA from 1 species